CAGUAACGGCGAGUGAAGCGGCAACAGCUCAAAUUUGAAAUCUGGCUCCUUCGGGGUCCGAAUUGUAAUUUGUAGAGAGUGCUUCGGGCGAGACCUCGGUCUAAGUCCAUUGGAACAUGGUGUCAUAGAGGGUGAGAAUCCCGUAUGCGACCGUGGCUCGAGCCCAUGUGAAGCCUCUUCGACGAGUCGAGUUGUUUGGGAAUGCAGCUCAAAAUGGGUGGUAAAUUUCAUCUAAAGCUAAAUACUGGCUGGAGACCGAUAGCGCACAAGUAGAGUGAUCGAAAGAUGAAAAGCACUUUGGAAAGAGAGUCAAACAGUACGUGAAAUUGUUGAAAGGGAAGCGCUUGCAACCAGACCUGCCCGUAGGCGAUCAGCCGCUGUUCUCAGCGGUGUAUUCGCUCUGCGAUCAGGCCAGCAUCGGUUUCGGCGGUCGGAUAAAGACCUCGGGAAUGUAGCUUCCCUUCGGGGAAGUCUUAUAGCCCUCGGUGUAAUGCGGCCAGCCGGGACCGAGGACCGCGCUUCGGCUAGGAUGCUGGCGUAAUGGUUGUAAGCGACCCGUCUUGAAACACGGACCAAGGAGUCUAACAUCUAUGCGAGUGUUUGGGUGUCAAACCCAUACGCGGAAUGAAAGUGAACGGAGGUGAGAACCCUUAAGGGCGCAUCAUCGACCGAUCCAGAUGUCUUCGGAUGGAUUUGAGUAUGAGCAUAGCUGUUGGGACCCGAAAGAUGGUGAACUAUGCCUGAAUAGGGUGAAGCCAGAGGAAACUCUGGUGGAGGCUCGCAGCGGUUCUGACGUGCAAAUCGAUCGUCAAAUUUGGGUAUAGGGGCGAAAGACUAAUC
rnacentral:rRNA from 1 species